rnacentral:rRNA from 1 species
AGUGGCGGACGGGUGAGUAACACGUGGGUAACCUGCCUAAAAGAAGGGGAUAACACUUGGAAACAGGUGCUAAUACCGUAUAUCUCUAAGGAUCGCAUGAUUCUUAGAUGAAAGAUGGUUCUGCUAUCGCUUUUAGAUGGACCCGCGGCGUAUUAACUAGUUGGUGGGGUAACGGCCUACCAAGGUGAUGAUACGUAGCCGAACUGAGAGGUUGAUCGGCCACAUUGGGACUGAGACACGGCCCAAACUCCUACGGGAGGCAGCAGUAGGGAAUCUUCCACAAUGGACGCAAGUCUGAUGGAGCAACGCCGCGUGAGUGAAGAAGGUCUUCGGAUCGUAAAACUCUGUUGUUAGAGAAGAACACGAGUGAGAGUAACUGUUCAUUCGAUGACGGUAUCUAACCAGCAAGUCACGGCUAACUACGUGCCAGCAGCCGCGGUAAUACGUAGGUGGCAAGCGUUGUCCGGAUUUAUUGGGCGUAAAGGGAACGCAGGCGGUCUUUUAAGUCUGAUGUGAAAGCCUUCGGCUUAACCGGAGUAGUGCAUUGGAAACUGGAAGACUUGAGUGCAGAAGAGGAGAGUUGAACUCCAUGUGUAGCGGUGAAAUGCGUAGAUAUAUGGAAGAACACCAGUGGCCGAAAAGCGGCUCUCUGGUCUGUAACUGACGCUGAGGUUCGAAAGCGUGGGUAGCAAACAGGAUUA